AAUAUUGGUCAAUGGACGAGAGUCUGAACCAGCCAAAUCGCGUGAAGGAAGACUGCCCUACGGGUUGUAAACUUCUUUUGUACAGGAAUAAAAGACAUUACGUGUAAUGUAUUGCAUGUACUGUACGAAUAAGCAUCGGCUAACUCCGUGCCAGCAGCCGCGGUAAUACGGAGGAUGCGAGCGUUAUCCGGAUUUAUUGGGUUUAAAGGGUGCGCAGGCGGGAUUUUAAGUCAGCGGUGAAAUUUUCAGGCUCAACCUGAACACUGCCGUUGAAACUGGGAUUCUUGAGUAUGGAUGAAGUAGGCGGAAUUCGUUGUGUAGCGGUGACAUGCUUAGAUAUAACGAGGAACUCCGAUUGCGUAGGCAGCUUACUAAGCCAUAACUGACGCUCAAGCACGAAAGCGUGGGGAUCAAACAGG
rnacentral:rRNA from 1 species